CUACGGGUCGCUGCAGUUAAGGAUUUUCUACAAUGCGCGAAAGCGUGAUAGAGCGAGCCAGAGUGUUUCUCAAUAUUUGAGAAACUUUUUCUUAGUGUAAAUAGCUAGGAGAAUAAGGACCGGGAAAGACUGGUGCCAGCCGCCGCGGUAAUACCAGCGGUUCGAGUCGCAGCCACAUUUAUUGGGUCUAAAACAUCUGUAGCUUGUUUUAUAAGUCUCUUGUGAAAUCUCGCAUCUCAAAUGUGAAACGUGCAGGAGAUACUGUAAGGCUAGAGACUGGGAGACGUAAGAAGUAUGCAUGGGGUAUCAGUAAAAUGAGUUGAUCCUGUGUAGACUAACGAGAGCGAAGGCAUCUUACGAGAACAGAUCUGACAGUGAGAGAUGAAGGCUAGGGUCGCGAAAGGGAUUAGAUACCCCCGUAGUC
rnacentral:rRNA from 1 species